UUUGAAACGAAGAGUUAGUCCGUUUAUAAGCAAACCCCCGAAAUACUGGCCCUUAGCAUACAUUCAAAGACCUCGCAUGCACAAAUUUUAAAGAGAUUACUUCUGUUCAAAAUCACUUGGAAAGAACUGUGGGUUUCUUUCAAGUUGAACAACCUCACCGUUUCAAAAGCUGCCCACGGAGGAAAGAACUCAAGUCCAGUGCGAGAGGCAGGGAGGGUGCGAGGCGGCAGCGCAGUGUACCACCUGCCCUGGUGACUGCAGCUUCGCAGGAAGUCUUGAAAUCGGACGGCGUGUGUCCUUCGACACAUUCUUCUCCUUCGAAGUUGUCGUGUGUAUUCCAGCACCUUGGCCUUCCCCAGAGCUUCACACUCACUGUGUCGAUCUCUACAAAACAGCCUGCUGGGAUGUUAACCGGACUGAGUUUAAUCUGUACACCAAUUUGGGGAGAACUGACCUCUUAGCAGUUUUGACUAUUCCAAUCCACGAAACAAUACAUGUCUCCAUUUAUGUAGGAAUUCUUUGAUUUCUUUCAUCUGUGUUUCAUAGUUUUCAGCAAACAGUUCUUGUGUGUAUUUUGUAGGAUUUGUGCCUAAGUAUUUCAUGAUUUUUGGUUCUAUUGUAAAUGGAAAUGUUUUUAAUUUCAGUUUCUAAUGGUUCUUUACUAGUAUACAACUAAAUUCACCUGCAGUCCUAGCUUUUGUGUAGAUGCCACUGGAUUUUCUACGUAGAAAAUCACAUCAUCUGCAAAUAAAGAUGGUUUCUCUCUCUCUCUAAUCUGUUUGCCUUUCAUUUCUCUCUUUUUCUUGCCUUCUGCACUUGCUAGAGCCUCCAGGAUGAUGGUGAAUAGAAGUGGUGAGGUUGGACACCCUCGCCUGGUUCCCGAUCGCAGAGGAAAAGCAUCCCCUCUCUCUCUAUUAUGCAUGAGGCCACUGAAGGGGCUUUGCAGACGCCUCUACCAGGGUCGGGAAAAUCUCUUUAGAUCCUGGCUUGCUGAGUUGUCUGUUUAAUCACAGAUGGACGCUGACUUUCGUUAAAUGCCGUUUCUGCAUCUAUUGAGAUGAUUAUAACAUUUUCCUUCUUCAGUCUGUUGACAUGAAAAAUUACGUUGACUGACUUUCAAAGUUAGAACCAACCUUUCACUGCUGGGAUAAACUCUACUGACCAUGAUGUAUGACCCUUUUUAGACGCGGCUGAAUCAGAGUCAAUGACAUCUGGUGAGAAUUCUCACACCCACAUUCAAGAAGGACCCUGGCCUAGAGUUUUCCUUUCCUCCAAGUCUGUACAGGCCAGCAUUUACAUCGAUUGCAGUUUAGCUGGAUCCUUUCAAGGCUUGUUUUUAAGCUUUUGAGGGGAGGGUCUAAGCUACUCUCACUCUGGGUUUAUUUACCCCACUACCAAGGUAGGACCCCUUGGGGGUCUCUACAGCCUGCCCGGGGUCAGCAAGAACUGUCCACUGCUGCUGAGCCCUUGGCACCGGCCCCCUUGCGGCUCCUUGGCAGUUGUCC
rnacentral:lncRNA from 1 species